CCUACGGGUGGCAGCAGUGAGGAAUAUUGGUCAAUGGGCGCGAGCCUGAACCAGCCAAGUCGCGUGAGGGAAGACGGUCCUAUGGAUUGUAAACCUCUUUUGUCGGGGAGCAAAAGACGCCACGCGUGGCGUUCCGAGAGUACCCGAAGAAAAAGCAUCGGCUAACUCCGUGCCAGCAGCCGCGGUAAUACGGAGGAUGCGAGCGUUAUCCGGUUUUAUUGGGUUAAAAGGGUGCGCAGGCGGAAGAUUAAGUCAGCGGUAAAAUUGAGGGGCUCAACCUCGGCGAGCCGUUGAAACUGGCUUGCUUGAGUGGGUGAGAGGUAUGCGGAAUGCGUGGUGUAGCGGUGAAAUGCAUAGAUAUUACGCAGAACUCCGAUUGCGAAGGCAGCAUACCGGCGGUCAACUGACGCUGAGGCACGAAAGCGUGGGUAUCGAACAGGAUUAGAUACCCUUGUAGUC
rnacentral:rRNA from 1 species